AUAAUUAUGUCUGAUAAAAGAAAUAAAUUGUAAAUUUAUAAAUAUAA
rnacentral:tRNA from 1 species